rnacentral:tRNA from 1 species
UCCCUGGUGGCUCAGUGGUAAAGCAUCCGCCUGCCAAAGUGGGAGUCGUGGGUUCGAUCCCUGGCCUGGGAA